AGCUAAGCAAAAUUCAAUCACGAAAAAUAUCGAUAUAUCGGUGUUAUCGGUAUUUUUGUUCCGGUAUCGGUUUUCGUUUUUUUUUCAAAUACCGCAACAGCCUAGUAAAAAUAGAGUCACGAUCUUUCUCAACGGCCAGUUUAGAAUAGUUUAUACCUGUAAAUUCCACAUAUAAAUCAUAAGCAUUCUCUAGUUAUAAUCACUCCGCG